rnacentral:rRNA from 1 species
CAUGAGUAACGAUAAGACAGGUGAGAAACCUGUCCGCCGUAAGCCUAAGGGUUCCUGUUCAACGUUAAUCGGAACAGGGUUAGUCGGGACCUAAGCCGAGGCUGAGAAGCGUAGGUGAUGGCAAACGGGUUGAAUAUUCCCGUACCACCUGAAGACGUUAAUGCAAGGCGUGACACAGAAGCGUAAGGUCCGCGUCCUGACGGAUGGACGUUGAAGUGCUUA